rnacentral:rRNA from 1 species
CCUACGGGUGUCAGCAGUGAGGAAUAUUGGUCAAUGGGCGGAAGCCUGAACCAGCCAAGUAGCGUGCAGGAUGACGGCCCUACGGGUUGUAAACUGCUUUUAUACGGGAAUAACGCGCCUUCCGUGUAGGGCUUUGCAUGUACCGUAUUAAUAAGGACCGGCUAAUUCCGUGCCAGCCGCCGCGGUCAUACGGAGGGUCCGGGCGUUAUCCGGAUUUAUUGGUUUUAAAGGGAGCGUAGGCCGCAUGUCAAGCGUGCUGUGAAAUGUCCGGGCUCAACCCGGGCCUUGCAGCGCGAACUGGCGUGCUUGAGUCCGCGGAAAGCAGGCGGAAUUCGUCGUGUAGCGGUGAAAUGCUUAGAUAUGACGAAGAACCCCGAUUGCGAAGGCAGCUUGCUGCAGCGGAACUGACGCUGAUGCUCGAAAGCGCGGGUAUCGAACAGGAUUAGAUACCCUAGUAGUC